AGCGGGACGAAGAGCGCGGCCAAACCGCCUCCAUUCCAGGGUUCAGCCACCGAGCUGAAGUGUCAUGGUUUCGCCAUUCCAGGGUCCCAAGCCAGCAUGUGUUCUCCAGAAGCCAGAAUUUGCUUAUGUAUAUAGCUGGGGUGAUGUCGGUAUGCCAUGCAGUUUGCAUUACCGCAACCGCUGUGCGGACUCCUGGUGUGCACAAAGAUCGCUCAUCUGUCUCUCAAGUAUUUGUAGAUCUCAGUGGUGGUACCGGCAGAUAAGACAUGAAGCUGCAUGAGGCUCUACCAGAGUCUUAUGCCAUUCCUCUGGUCGCAUAUAGUGCACAGCCUUUGAGCGUCUUACAAGUACGAGCAUGAGACAGCAAGCUUCUGUCAGCAGACUUGCGCUUUAUUUCUUAAUGAUCUUACCAUUCGCUUUAUUUCUUAAUGAUCUUACCGUUCUUUUGAGACCGCAUAUAUUUUAACGGCGUGUUUUCAUUAUAAGUGGAAAUCCCUUUAUUGUUACUCUG